rnacentral:rRNA from 1 species
UACGGGGGGGGCAAGCGUUGUUCGGAAUUACUGGGCGUAAAGGGCUCGUAGGUGGCCAACUAAGUCAGACGUGAAAUCCCUCGGCUUAACCGGGGAACUGCGUCUGAUACUGGAUGGCUUGAGUUUGGGAGAGGGACGCGGAAUUCCAGGUGUAGCGGUGAAAUGCGUAGAUAUCUGGAGGAACACCGAUGGCGAAGGCAGCCUCCUGGGCCAGCACUGACGCUCAUGCACGAAAGCGUGGGGAGCAAACAGG